UAACACGUAUCCAACCUGCCGUCUACUCUUGGACAGCCUUCUGAAAGGAAGAUUAAUACAAGAUGGCAUCAUGGGUUCACAUGUUCACAUGAUUAAAGGUAUUCCGGUAGACGAUGGGGAUGCGUUCCAUUAGAUAGUAGGCGGGGUAACGGCCCACCUAGUCUUCGAUGGAUAGGGGUUCUGAGAGGAAGGUCCCCCACAUUGGAACUGAGACACGGUCCAAACUCCUACGGGAGGCAGCAGUGAGGAAUAUUGGUCAAUGGGCGAGAGCCUGAACCAGCCAAGUAGCGUGAAGGAUGACUGCCCUAUGGGUUGUAAACUUCUUUUAUAAAGGAAUAAAGUCGGGUAUGCAUACCCGUUUGCAUGUACUUUAUGAAUAAGGAUCGGCUAACUCCGUGCCGGCAGCCGCGGUAAUACGGAGGAUCCGAGCGUUAUCCGGAUUUAUUGGGUUUAAAGGGAGCGUAGAUGGAUGUUUAAGUCAGUUGUGAAAGUUUGCGGCUCAACCGUAAAAUUGCAGUUGAUACUGGAUAUCUUGAGUGCAGUUGAGGCAGGCGGAAUUCGUGGUGUAGCGGUGAAAUGCUUAGAUAUCACGAAGAACUCCGAUUGCGAAGGCAGCCUGCUAAGCUGCAACUGACAUUGAGGCUCGAAAGUGUGGGUAUCAAACAGGAUUAGAUACCCUGGUAGUCCACACGGUAAACGAUGAAUACUCGCUGU
rnacentral:rRNA from 1 species